rfam:Hordeum vulgare subsp. vulgare, WGS project CAJW01000000 data, contig: morex_contig_77932
UAAAUACUUCCUCCGUCCCAAAAUUCUUGUCUUAGGUUUGUCUAUAAAUUAAUGUAUCUAAAUACUAAAAUGUGACUAGAUGUAUUUGUAUCUAGACAAAUCUAAGACAAGAAUUUUAUGACGGAGGGAGCAGGAG